AUAUGUAGGAAAUGGCACAUUCGUACAUUAUCUAAUUAAAUUGUUCUAAAAAAAAAGAUAACAAAUUGAGUAAUUUAUAGUUGUUUAUAAAUUAUUGUAUUAGUGUUCUUAUUAUUACUGCUAAAGAAAAUAAAAAAAGUAAAAUUGUUAUUUAUUGAAGAUUAUUAGUUGACAAAUAACUAUGAUAAAUAAAAAAGAGAAAGGUAUAUUUAUAGUUUGGUAAUUAUUGUACAUAAGUGGACUUAUUUGAUGCAAAAAAUCCUUAGAACCUCAUAAAAUUUGGCAUUGAGUUGGUAUAUUAAAAAUAUAUUGGAUGA